rnacentral:lncRNA from 1 species
CCCAUGCCUUAGUAUUGUAUGAGGACAUACAAACUUUUAGAAGGGGGAGGGUGUAACCCAGAGAAAAGUUUGGGAAUGUUACAUGUGUAUAUAUGUUAUUAUGUUCAUUUUAUGUUAAUAAUUAUUGCUAAAUAUUUGUUCAGUAUUAUUUCUGUUUCCUUUUAUUAUCUGUGAUGUUCUGACCUAUCAGCGAUGGUGGGAGGGAUAAGACGGAAGGAAGUGGAGCGCGCGGGAAAAAAGGAAGGGAGUUUGCGGCAAAACGUGGGAGAAGCAAGGAAGAACAGAGUAAUACACUGUGGGAAAAAGAACUGAUAAAUAACCGGAGAUUAGCGAUUCUCUCCAAGUCAUUUUCGAUGCCCUGGCUGAGGGAAGGAGCUUCUCACCCAAGAUUGGAUGUGCAGUUCCGUCUGCAUAGGCCACGCCACCCCUCAGAUCCGGAGUUGUGUGUUCGGCCUGCUGCACAUUCCUACUUCCAGAAUCAAAGCAGGUUUGGUCUAAACACAAAUACACAAAUGCUUUUGCAUGUGGAGGCCACAGACAUGUUUUCCUUUCUUCUCUUUUAUACAGCUUUUCAGUUGUUUUUCAUUUCACUGGGGUGACUGGCAGUACUGGACAUUACAGAGGUUACACAGAUAGUCCAGCCCCAUGUACCAGGAUGGCACAUCAAUACGUGUCAUUGGCAGAAGGUUUCAAGAGCAUGGUGAAGCUGCACAUGGCCGUUGAAGGUCCAUAACUUGU